UGCAAAUGAUGUCUUUCUCACGAUGGUCUUCCUAACCGUAGGGUUCUGACGACACCGCCUAACGGCAACACUGAUGCAGUCGG
ensembl:snoRNA